rnacentral:lncRNA from 1 species
AUCAAACAAAUUGAAUAUAUAUUGUAUAUAUGUCUGUACUCUUUGGCAUUGCAAACAUGAUAAAUGUUUUCAUCUUUACCUCCUAACUGAUGUGGGAAAAUGAGCAACAACUCAGGAAUAUGUACACAAUCGCUCUUCCAUGGCUUCUUCAAAUGUUAACCCGAAUUCACUGUGCUGCUGCUAGAAAAAAAAGUGGCAUUGCAUUAAAAUAUGCACUCACUACAUAUUAAUACCAAAUUGAACAUAUAUGAAUAAAGAGCACUCAGAUCCAUCUUCAUUUUGGGUUUUUAAAUGAGAUUUAUUUACUUUUUUAUAUUAUAUUACAC